UGUGUUUCUUCUUCCAUUUUUUCUUUUUUUUCCUCCGCAUGAUUUUCGUUCAUGAUGCUGCUAGAUACAGACGGCGUGGAAGGAGGUGGUGAUGGGGAAUUUGCGAAAGAAGAA
rnacentral:ribozyme from 15 species